AUGAACGCUGGCGGCGUGCUUAACACAUGCAAGUCGAGCGAAGCGCUUAAGUUUGAUUCUUCGGAUGAAGACUUUUGUGACUGAGCGGCGGACGGGUGAGUAACGCGUGGGUAACCUGCCUCAUACAGGGGGAUAACAGUUAGAAAUGACUGCUAAUACCGCAUAAGACCACGGUACCGCAUGGUACAGUGGUAAAAACUCCGGUGGUAUGAGAUGGACCCGCGUCUGAUUAGGUAGUUGGUGGGGUAACGGCCUACCAAGCCGACGAUCAGUAGCCGACCUGAGAGGGUGACCGGCCACAUUGGGACUGAGACACGGCCCAGACUCCUACGGGAGGCAGCAGUGGGGAAUAUUGCACAAUGGAGGAAACUCUGAUGCAGCGACGCCGCGUGAAGGAUGAAGUAUUUCGGUAUGUAAACUUCUAUCAGCAGGGAAGAAAAUGACGGUACCUGACUAAGAAGCCCCGGCUAACUACGUGCCAGCAGCCGCGGUAAUACGUAGGGGGCAAGCGUUAUCCGGAUUUACUGGGUGUAAAGGGAGCGUAGACGGCACGGCAAGCCAGAUGUGAAAGCCCGGGGCUCAACCCCGGGACUGCAUUUGGAACUGCUGAGCUAGAGUGUCGGAGAGGCAAGUGGAAUUCCUAGUGUAGCGGUGAAAUGCGUAGAUAUUAGGAGGAACACCAGUGGCGAAGGCGGCUUGCUGGACGAUGACUGACGUUGAGGCUCGAAAGCGUGGGGAGCAAACAGGAUUAGAUACCCUGGUAGUCCACGCCGUAAACGAUGACUGCUAGGUGUCGGGUGGCAAAGCCAUUCGGUGCCGCAGCUAACGCAAUAAGCAGUCCACCUGGGGAGUACGUUCGCAAGAAUGAAACUCAAAGGAAUUGACGGGGGCCCGCACAAGCAGUGGAGUAUGUGGUUUAAUUCGACGCAACGCGAAGAACCUUACCAAGGCUUGACAUAUACAGGAAUAUAUAAGAGAUUAUAUAGCUCUUCGGAGUCUGUAUACAGGUGGUGCAUGGUUGUCGUCAGCUCGUGUCGUGAGAUGUUGGGUUAAGUCCCGCAACGAGCGCAACCCCUAUCUUCAGUAGCCAGCAGGUUAAGCUGGGCACUCUGGAGAGACUGCCAGGGAUAACCUGGAGGAAGGUGGGGAUGACGUCAAAUCAUCAUGCCCCUUAUGACCAGGGCUACACACGUGCUACAAUGGCGUAAACAAAGAGAAGCAAACUCGCGAGGGUAAGCAAAUCUCAAAAAUAACGUCUCAGUUCGGAUUGUAGUCUGCAACUCGACUACAUGAAGCUGGAAUCGCUAGUAAUCGCAGAUCAGAAUGCUGCGGUGAAUACGUUCCCGGGUCUUGUACACACCGCCCGUCACACCAUGGGAGUCAGUAACGCCCGAAGUCAGUGACCCAACCGUAAGGAGGGAGCUGCCGAAGGUGGGACCGAUAACUGGGGUG
rnacentral:rRNA from 1 species